rnacentral:rRNA from 1 species
AUGAAGCUGGAAUCGCUAGUAAUCGCGGAUCAGAAUGCCGCGGUGAAUACGUUCCCGGGUCUUGUACACACCGCCCGUCACACCAUGGGAGGUCGGGAAUGCCCGAAGUCAGUGACCCAACCGAAAGGGGGGAGCUGCCGAAGGCAGGCCUGGUAACUGGGGUGAAGUCGUAACAAGGUAGC